UCAAAAUGAAUAUUUUGUAUAUGUAUGUCAAUAUUACAGUACAGUGUUAUGUGUAUAGUAUAUUAGGACACACAUGGAGUGCACACUAACAGCCUACACCUUAUAUAAAUGCUUUGGAUAGUUAUAUGUUUUGAAUUGUAUAUUUUUUGUUAGGACUGUCGGAAUGUGAUAACUAUGCAAAGACUCACCUUGAACCGCCUAUCCCAAAUUGCGAUAUAAUCCUAUGAAAAGUUGGAAUCCUAAAUUAGUACAAGAAUAAAUAUAAUUUAGUUUAGUCUUGCAAGUAGGACUGUUAACUCUGAAGGACAUUCUGUGAUGGCAGUUUGUAUAAAGGUUCAUUGUCAGUCAGCUUUCAGGGGUAUAGAUAUGAUAUAAAGGUUUUUGGAAGUGGAACAUAAUGAAUUGUUAAAAGAAAGUAUGUUUUCUACGUGUUGCUAAUGUGAUACUAUUCCAUCAAACAGUCUAAAGCACUCACACAGUUAGUGUAAGGGCUCAGAUCAAUGUGGGGUGACAGCUGGAGGUAGAGCUUACUACUUUAAAUUAUUUGGAACAGGUACCAAAAUGGUUGUUACAGACACACCGCUGACGAAACCUACAGUGACCGUGUUCCCGCCUUCUUUUAAAAGUGGUCAAGUCACGCUGGUCUGCCUGGCAGAGAAGUAUUUUCCAGAUGUCAUCAAAAUAGAGUGGAAGAAAAACGAUAAAAUAGUGUCUGAAGCGAAGGCACAGCUUGAGAAGGACAAAGCCUCCAUUGUGCUCAAAGUCACUGACAAAGACUUUGACAAAGAUCGCUAUUCCUGUCAGGUGACUCAUGAAGCACUACCAAAUGGACAUUAUGUAAAAAACCUACCAGAGAUAAAAGCUCAACCUGUAAAAAAAGAGACUGGACCAGUCAAUGCAUCAACAUGUCCACCAGAGCAGUAUACUGAUGAUGAGAAAAAAGAAACCAUUUCUUUGUCUCCUUUUGAUGUGGACAUGUUUGCUUACACUCUCUUAAUCCUGAAGAGUGCUAUGUAUUUUGGAAUCAUAUCCGUCCUGACUUACAAGAUAAAGUCUGCUCAGGCCCUUGGCGUCAAGAAGAGAGUGCCUUGAAGCACCAACUGUGUUUGAAGUUGAAAGAAAUAUAUGAUAUUGUUGCUUGUCAAUUUUAUAACAGCUUUGCUUUAAGAUAAUUGAUUGUAUUUUAAUUGUUUUGUUCCAUGUUUUAGCAAUGGUUACAUAUUAAGAAACAUUUUAUGUGGCUGGAUGCAAAAAGACUUAUAUAAAAAAAAAACUGUAGGUUUGCUAGUUUAGUAGCUUUGUAAGCAUGCUUAUGAUUAUUAUAGCAAGUUGGAAAAAUAAUAUAUCAUUUUAUUAAAAAAAAUAGAAUUGUUUAAGGAAAUAGUUAACUGUUGCAUUUUACAG